GAUGAAGAACGUAGCGAAAUGCGAUAAGUAAUGUGAAUUGCAGAAUUCAGUGAAUCAUCGAAUCUUUGAACGCACAUUGCGCCCGCCAGCAUUCUGGCGGGCAUGCCUGUUCGAGCGUCAUUUCAACCCUCGAGCCCCCCCGGGGGCCUCGGUGUUGGGGGACGGCACACCAGCCGCCCCCGAAAUGCAGUGGCGACCCCGCCGCAGCCUCCCCUGCGUAGUAGCACACACCUCGCACCGGAGCGCGGAGGCGGUCACGCCGUAAAACGCCCAACUUUCUUAGAGUUGACCUCGGAUCAGGUAGGAAUACCCGCUGAACUUAAGCAUAUCAAUAAGCGGAGGA
rnacentral:misc_RNA from 1 species